rnacentral:rRNA from 1 species
UACGUAGGGUGCAAGCGUUGUCCGGAAUUAUUGGGCGUAAAGAGCUCGUAGGCGGUUUGUCGCGUCGGCUGUGAAAGCCCGGAGCUCAACUCCGGGUCUGCAGUCGAUACGGGCAGACUAGAGGUAUGCAGGGGAGAACGGAAUUCCUGGUGUAGCGGUGAAAUGCGCAGAUAUCAGGAGGAACACCGGUGGCGAAGGCGGUUCUCUGGGCAGUAACUGACGCUGAGGAGCGAAAGCGUGGGGAGCGAACAGG